rnacentral:rRNA from 1 species
GACGUAGGGGGCCAGCGUUGUUCGGAAUUACUGGGUGUAAAGGGUUCGUAGGCGGUGUGGCAAGUCGGGAGUGAAAUCUCUGGGCUCAACCCAGAGGCUGCUUUCGAAACUGCUGUGCUUGAGUGUGGGAGAGGCGCGUGGAAUUGCAGGUGUAGCGGUGAAAUGCGUAGAUAUCUGCAGGAACACCCGUGGCGAAAGCGGCGCGCUGGACCACUACUGACGCUGAAGAACGAAAGCUAGGGGAGCAAACAGG